ensembl:lncRNA
GGUUAAGGUACUGGUUAAGGAUUGGAUAGGGUUAAGGUACUGGUCAAGGUUUGGAUAGGGUUAAGGUACUGGUUAAGGAUUGGAUAGGGUUAAGGUACUGGUCAAGGUUUGGAUAGGGUUAAAGUACUGGUUAAGGAUUGGUUAGGGUUAAGGUACUGGUCAAGGUUUGGAUAGGGUUAAGGUACUGGUUAAGGAUUGGAUAGGGUUAAGGUACUGGUCAAGGUUUGGAUAGGGUUAAGGUACUGGUUAAGGAUUGGAUAGGGUUAAGGUACUGGUCAAGGUUUGGAUAGGGUUAAAGUACUGGUUAAGGAUUGGUUAGGGUUAAGGUACUGGUCAAGGUUUGGAUAGGGUUAAGGUACUGGUUAAGGAUUGGAUAGGGUUAAGGUACUGGUUAAGGAUUGGAUAGGUUUAAGGUACUGGUCAAGGUUUGGAUAGGGUUAAGGUACUGGUCAAGGUUUGGAUAGGGUUAAGGUACUGGUUAAGGAUUGGAUAGGGUUAAGGUACUGGUCAAGGAUUGGAUAGGGUUAAGGUACUGGUUAAGGAUUGGAUAGGGUUAAGGUACUGGUCAAGGUUUGGAUAGGGUUAAGGUACUGGUUAAGGAUUGGAUAGGGUUAAGGUACUGGUCAAGGUUUGGAUAGGGCUAAGGUACUGGUUAAGGAUUCUAUAGGGUUAAGACAUUGAGUUUAGUCUCUCAUUCUGAAUGGUUAAGGUAAAGGUCAAGGUUUGGAUAGGGUUAAGUUAAAACCAACUAUAAAAACCAGUGUCUGUGACCAGGAUCAAACACACAGCCUUCUGAUCCAGAGGUAUGGGAUUCCACCUCUCCAUCCGCUCAUCCACAACACUCCAGCAAAACCCAGGCCUACUUGAUGGUAAUAGUGCUCACUGUUGCCUCUAGUGGCUGGUUUUGAAGGCAUUUCCCGAUGUCUUCAGGAAAGCGAUAGACGUCCAAUUUCAACAAUAAUCUUGAACGAACUGGCUGCACACACACACACACACACACACACACACACACACACACAAUGCCUCGGAUCCCUAAGCGCUUCCUGCUAGCCGACCUGUGAAUGUCUAUCUGCUAGGAGGGCUCUUACUCUGGCCCUUUGCCUCAUACUUGGAGAUUGCCCCACAUUUGGAGGAGGGAUGGGAUGAUGGUACAAGUCAGUUAGUAUGACGCGAGGGCACUGAGGGAGUGUCCCAAAUGUCAGCCUAUUACCUAUAGUGCACUACUUUUGCCCAGGGUUCAUAGGGAAGAGGAUGCCAUUUGGUAUGGUACCUACCUACUGCAUCAUUUUAAAGAUACUGUAUAGAUAGAUAUAUACAGUACCAGUCAAAGUUUGGACUCAGCUACUCAAUCAAGGUUUUUUCUUUGUUUUGUACUAUUUUGUACAAAACUAUGACACAUAUGGAAUCAUGCAGUAACCAAAAAAGUGUAAAACAAAUCAAAAUAUAAUUUAUAUUUGAGAUUCUUCAAAGUAGCCACCCCUUGCCUCGAUAACAGCUUUGCACACUCUUGGCAUUCUCUCAACCGGCUUCAUGAGGUAGUCACCUGGAAUGCAUUUCAAUUAACAUGUGUGCCUUGUUAAAAGUUAAUUUGUGGAAUUUCUUUCCUUCUUUAAUGAGUUUGAGCCAAUCAGUUGUGUUUUGACAAGGUAGGGGUGGUAUACAGGUAAAAGACAAAGUCCAUAUUAUGGCAACAACAGCUAAGCAAAGAGAAACAACAGUGGGUCCAAACUUUUGACUGGUACUAUAUGUAGUGCACUACUUUUGACCAGGGUUCAUAUAUGUAGUGCACUACUUUUGACCAGGGUUCAUAUAUGUAGUGCACUACUUUUGGCCAGGGUUCAAAUAUGUAGUGCACUACUUUUGGCCAGGGUUCAUAUAUGUAGUGCACUACUUUUGACCAGGGUUCAUAUAUGUAGUGCACUACUUUUGGCCAGGGUUCAAAUAUGUAGUGCACUACUUUUGGCCAGGGUUCAUAUAUGUAGUGCACUACUUUUGACCAGGGUUCAUAUAUGUAGUGCACUACUUUUGGCCAGGGUUCAUAUAUGUAGUGCACUACUUUUGGCCAGGGUUCAUAUAUGUAGUGCACUACUUCUGACCAGGGUUCAUAUAUGUAGUGCACUACAUUUGACCAGGGUUCAUAUAUGUAGUGCACUACUUUUGACCAGGGCUGCUGUUUAACAGGCUCCCAACCAGCUGUGCUAUUGUGUUAGUUUUUUCGCAUUGUUAGUAACUUGUUUUGUACAUAAUGUUGCUUCUACCGUCUCUUAUGACCGGAAAGAGCUUCUGGACGUCAGAACGGCGAUUCCUCACCUCGAACUGGAUGAAGAUUUUUUCUUUAAUGAGUCCGAUGCAAAGGAUUUACUGCUUUGUCAAGGUCCAAAUCCCCGUCAU